CUCUUUGCCAUUUGGAAGCAAGCUGCCUGCUGGCUCUCCAGGAGGCCCUUUUCCAGCAGAGACUGAAGAUCCCCAGGAAACGUGCCGAAAGCAGCAGGGAUGUGGCAGCAAAACCACCUCAGCAGGGAGCUGCCGUGAUGUGAGCACUGCUGUGAGCACAGGGAGAGCAGCAGCUCCCAGCGCCGAGCAUCACAGUUAAAUCGUGAGCCCUCUGAAGCGAGAGCCGUAGUGCCGUGCUGCGUUUCUGUAGCACCUACAGAAAGGAGAUCUUCCUUCAAAGGUGCUUCUGCAAAAUGGCUUCUAAUUAAUGCAACAACGGCGAAUAGUAGGCAGCGGUCUGAGCAACGCUCAGAGAACAUCGUAUCGAGAGCUGAGAGCAUGAAUCAAGAAGUGAGGGGGAGCAAAAGAAGCACAAAGCCAGGUGCAAAGUGCAAAGCAGACAUUUUCAAAAGGCUUUUUUUAUUUAAUGCACUGAAAACCUUAAAUGCUGGGGCCCUUCUUUGGGCAGCCCUCCUUGCCCAGCACACCAACAUGCUGUCCCCUGCUCCUUCCCCUCAGUGCUGCUCGCUAUUUCCAUCUCCGUUUUGCUGUGGCCCUUCUGACCUCCCCACAUGCCUGUGCUCUCCCGUAGCUGUCCCUGGUAAUCUGACCCAGUUC
rnacentral:lncRNA from 1 species